CCAAUAGCGUAUAUUAAAGUUGUUGCAGUUAAAAAGCUCGUAGUUGAAUUUCGGGAUUGACGUGACGGUCGUGCCUUACGGGGUAUGAACUGUCGCCGUUGAUUUCUCACCUUCUGGAGAAGCUCGAUGUCCUUAAUUGGGUGUCUUGCGGAACCAGGACCUUUACCUUGAAAAAAUUAGAGUGUUUAAAGCAGGCAUUAUUGCUCGAAUACAUUAGCAUGGCAUAAUAGAAUAGGACGGCAUGGUUCUAUUUUGUUGGUUUCUAGGAUCACCGUAAUGAUUAAUAGGGAUAGUUGGGGGCAUUAGUAUUCAAUUGUCAGAGGUGAAAUUCUUGGAUUUAUUGAAGACUAACUACUGCGAAAGCAUUUGCCAAGGAUGUUUUCAUUAAUCAAGAACGAAAGUUAGGGGAUCGAAGACGAUCAGAUACCGUCGUAGUCUUAACCAUAAACUAUGCCGACUAGGAAUCAGACGAUGUUAAUUUUUUAAUGACUCGUUUGGCACCUUACG
rnacentral:rRNA from 1 species